AGGUCAGGCGGGGCUACCCGCUGAGUUU
rnacentral:rRNA from 1 species